rnacentral:rRNA from 1 species
UACGUAGGGGGCAAGCGUUGUUCGGAUUCAUUGGGCGUAAAGGGUGCGUAGGCGGCGCGGUAAGUCGGUGUGAAAUCUCGGGGCUUAACUCCGAACUGCAUUCGAUAACUGCCGUGCUUGAGGAACUGGAGAGGAGACUGGAAUUUACGGUGUAGCGGUGAAAUGCGCAGAUAUCAGGAAGAACACCGUGGCGAAGCGGUCUCUGGGACGGACUGACGCUGGAGAGCGCGAAAGCGU